GCAGGUGCAGCUGUGCCUGCGUGCGUCACAUCGUGUGUGUGUGUGCCUGCGUGUGUACAUGCACGUGUCUGUUGGUUCACGUUGCAUCGUGUGUGCAUGUGGAACCACAGCGAGCCCUGCACAUCACCCUGGACUCAGAGCUCCAUCCUGGCCACGGUGAGGCUGCGGAGUGGCCCAGGGCUUCUUCCCAUCCUGGAAGCAUCCAUCAACACACCUGGUGAGGACCCACCUGUGGCCCAGGGCAGAAGCAGGACCAGAAGGAUGCAGCCCCCCUCCAGAGCAACAGCCAAUAAGGGU
rnacentral:lncRNA from 1 species